AAGUGGAGGUUUCUUCCUGACAGCUGCUGGAGCCUGCGAUCUCCUCCCCCGCCCCGGCCCGCUCUCCGCCUAACGUGAGAUUAUGAAAUUGCAGGGGCGGCGGAGGGAGGCAGCCGGGAUCGCGCCCGGAGUUUGGAGGGCGAGGGGAAGCUGGCUGGCUGGCCCGGGUGGCUGAAAUCAAACAUCCAAUUGCGCACUGGGUUGUGAUAAGAAAUCUAAUCAGAUCUUUGGCGAAGGGGCCGGCCGGAAGGAGAUCAGCGAGUGGGGGGAGCUGAUUCCCCAAAACAUUUAGGGGGGCUGGGGGGCCGCAGAGGAAAGGAAUCGAAGACAUAAAGGAGACUUUUUUUUUUUUUUUUUUUAGGUGGCUGUCGGGUGCUUUGCAAAAAUGAAGGAUGCGGGACGCAGCUCUCUCUUGGAGCCCAACGCAGUGGAUAAACUGAUUGUGCAAGACAGAAGGAAGAACGAAGCCUUUUCUGGAUCUUAGCACAGAUGUGUGUAUGUGCACGGAGGGAGCACUGGAAAAUGAAAUAAACCUGCGUCCCAGCCGCCGGAGUUGGUGUCUUCCGACAUAAAUAAAUAAUAAUAAAAUAGCUGGCCCCCACCUCCCUCCCCAAGAGGAUGAUUAGAAAUGGAGAAGCUCGGAUCCACCAAGAAGUAUGCUUAUUUUGCUCUGUAAAGCAAAAAGUACAACACGGAGAUGUUUUUGGAGUGAAAAGUUUGGGGCUUUUUUUAAAAAAGUAAAAGACCUGAUAUGGUAUAUGUGUGUGUGUUUUCCCCCCUGUUUUUUGAAUUUCCCACAGCGGAGAGGAAAUUAAUAAUGCAUCUGCAAAGAAAUUUCAGAGAAGAAAAGUUGACCACGGCAGAAUGAGGCAUUUAUGAGGGAAAGAAAGCAGCGGAGAACACUUGGAUUUGUGCCUGUGUUGACUAAAACUGACGGAUAAUUGCAGCUGGAUUUUUCUUCGUCGACCUCCUUUUCUCCCCCUUUCCUUUCUUUUUUUUUUUUUUUUUUUUUUUUUUUUUUUUUUUUUGUGGUGUCAAGAUCAUGCGUUUUCUCUUAUUCUUAACCCCCUGGAUUUCCAUGUGGAUGUUGCUGUGAUGGUUCUGAAAUGCACCCAGCCCUCUACAGUUCAGUGUGGUGAGAGUCAGAGAAAGCACCUGACCGAUGGUGGCAUUAAAGAAGCUGGACAGAUUGUCAAACACAUUGCCUAUUUACAGCAUCGAGGCCCCAGUGGAGAGCUAGGUGGGUGAUGAUUCAUGCUAAACGGUUCCCGCAGUGUGCUGAAGCCCGCAGCAGCGCGAAUGUGAAGUGGCUCAUUAUACGCUGUCAAGGCCAAUAGCAGAAGUGGCUGGCUUCACGCACACAGGCAAUUUGUGAGAAGCCCAGCCACCACAAACCACUGUCGAAUUUUAAAAGAUAAGCUACAAGGUGGUGGUGGUGGUGGUGGUGGUGCUGGGGACAUACUCACGGAGUCAGAUUUGCAAAUUUUCUCUGUCUGUCUCCCUUUGCCAAUUUAGAAACAGCUUCCCCGAGCCCAGCCUCCCUCCAGAGGUGACUCCUCUGGGCUUUGCUUCUUGGGACUGACUGCUCAGUCAGCCAGUUCUAUGGGUUUGGACUUUAUAAGGCUGGGGCUUCACUAGCACAACUGGAAAUGAGGUUCUCCUAUCAAAAUCUUCCUGAAGCUCCCUUUGUAGCUGUCCUCCACCAACCGACCAUGCCGUAUAUGUUUACAUAAAUCCAUUUCCUGUCAGCGGCAGCCGGGCCUUCAUGGGUGGUAGUUUUACCUGCAGAGAGAAGUGCAAGAGGCAGCAGGCAGGAAUCCUGGCUCUUUGCCUUGUGACUUAUAAUUACGCAUUUUUGUGUUUCCAUUCAACUGCAAUCUCCUUGAAGUUAGG
ensembl:lincRNA